rnacentral:rRNA from 1 species
CCAAUAGCGUAUAUUAAAGUUGUUGCAGUUAAAAAGCUCGUAGUUGAAUUUCGGGGUCAGUAGUUUGGUCGUGCCACUGGUAUGUACUGGGCUCACUGAUUCCUCCUUCCUGAUGAACCGUAAUGCCAUUAAUUUGGUGUUGCGGGGAAACUGGACUGUUACUUUGAAAAAAUUAGAGUGUUUAAAGCAAGCUAACGCUUGAAUACAUUAGCAUGGAAUAAUGAAAUAGGACGUUCGAUCCUAUUUUGUUGGUUUCUAGGAUUGACGUAAUGAUUAAUAGGGAUAGUUGGGGGCAUUAGUAUUCAAUUGUCAGAGGUGAAAUUCUUGGAUUUAUUGAAGACUAACUACUGCGAAAGCAUUUGCCAAGGAUGUUUUCAUUAAUCAAGAACGAAAGUUAGGGGAUCGAAGACGAUCAGAUACCGUCGUAGUCUUAACCAUAAACUAUGCCGACUAGGGAUCGGAUGAUGUUAAUUUUUUAAUGACUCAUUCGGCGCCUUACG